GACGAACGCUGGCGGCGUGCUUAACACAUGCAAGUCGAACGGGCCCGCCCCUGUUUUUGGGGGUGGGUUGAGUGGCGAACGGGUGAGUAUCACGUGAGUAACCUGCCCCCUGCUCCUGGAUAACUGCUUGAAAGGGCGGCUAAUACGGGGUGUGCCGGCUGGUCCGCAUGGGCCUGGUCGGGAUAGUUUCAUCUUCGGGUGUUUCGGUGGGGGAUGGGCUCGCGGCCUAUCAGCUUGUUGGUGGGGUGAUGGCCCACCAAGGCGGUGACGGGUAGCCGGCCUGAGAGGGUGGGCGGCCACACUGGGACUGAGACACGGCCCAGACUCCUGCGGGAGGCAGCAGUGGGGGGUAUUGCACAAUGGGCGGAAGCCUGAUGCAGCGACGUCGCGUGAGGGAUGGAGGCCUUCGGGUGGUGAACCUCUUUCUCCGGUGGUGAAGGCCCUGUCCGUUGCGGCGGGGUUGACGGUAGCCGGGUAUGAAGCGCCGGCUAACUACGUG
rnacentral:rRNA from 1 species